UUCUUAUUGGUGCAUUUUUUUUCAGAGUUUUCAGCAAAGUUUUGUAGGUUAAGGAUGCUUUUGUCACGCUUGAAAUCUAAAAACAAUGAACAAUGAUUUGGUUUUUUCUUUUAAUCCUAUAUUCCACAGCAAACACUCAAAUUAAUUUUAGAGAAAAUGAGUAAUAUUGAGUCUGAAGUCCUAUGUUUAUUUGAAAACCACAAAGCCACUGCCCUUUUCCAAGGGACACGACCAAACACCAAUGUCCCCUUCCUUUAGGGUCUUUUAAGCGAGCCCGAGGAAACAAUUACAGAGUAGCUCCUCUCCCCGAGGUCUUUAGACUCCAGUAAGCCUUUUCACUGGAAAUUGCUGCAUAUUCUGGCGGUCGGUACAAACACCUAGUCCGCCUCCGAAUUUUCUGGAAUCUGAGACUAGUUCCCCUCUUUGGCAUUCUUCACGUGUUUCAUUUGUCCGUGCCUCUGACACUUACUGAAAAGAAGAAAGGGGGGAACUGCUUCCCUGGGGUUCCCUUUCAAAGGGCCCUGGCCCAGCGGGGAGCAGCUGCAGCUGUCCAGGGCGAGGCCCCACCUGGCCUGGCCAGCCCCCCACACACACACAGCCGCCGCCGCNNNNNNNNNNNNNNNNNNNNCCGCCGCUGCCACCACCACCACCACCACCUCCCCUGCCCCAUGCACCCGGGAAUGGGCCCUGGCACAGUCGGCAGUGCAAACAAGCCAGCUACAGUACAGAGCCUCCAAGACCCCCACAGCCAGGCGAGGAGCCGCUAACCAGUGGCCCUGUGGCCCCCUCUUCCGACCAGGCAACGCGAGGGAUUUCCUCUGUCCAACGCUCCCCCCACAAGUGAGCAGGAGCACCCCUGAGAAAGUGGAAUGGUGCUCCAGAAAGGCCUCAUCUAAUUCCACACACACUUCAAGGUGGGCCAAGUCCAAAUUUCCCUCCAAGGCCAUGGCCAGGCCAGGGUUAGUGCAAGCUGGAGAGGAGCCUGGGGGGGGGGUGUUCUGCUGGAGGACUCUGAACACUGCAAAUUCCCCUCAGAACAAUUCCCACAGUGGAUAA
rnacentral:lncRNA from 1 species